GAAAAGGUGACCCAUCCGAAAAUGUGAGGGAGAUAAGAAGGCCUCAUGUGGAUUUCAAAAGGAAGCAUGUGCACGUUGAAACAAUGGCCAAUCUUUCAAAUGUCUGACCGAAGACACACCGUAUCCGCCGCACCGGAGGUCACCUUAGGCGGCGGCGGAAUGCUAAACUAAGAAAAUCAUACAUCAAUAUACUCGUUUCUUCAUCCUCAAUCCAUAUCCAUAAUCAAUUUCACCUAAAUUCCACCCUAAAGCUAAGACCGAGUCCAAAUUAACCAAGAAUCCUAACUGAAAAUUGAGAAAUUAAAUGCUCUCCUCUUGGAAUCAAAGUCCACUGAGUUGGGGCAUUGAUUCCUCAACCUCCAAGCUACAUUUCCGUAACUGAAUCGAAACAAAAGGUGGAGAAAAACAACUCAUGCUACCGGAGAAGAAUGCAUACGACGGUGAAUCUCUUGUUAUAGCUAGCCCAAGUUCAAACAUUUUCAUGGCAUGUUGACUACAAAAUGGAGAAUCAAGCCCAAAUGGUUAAAUCAAGACCAAAAUGGACAUGAAGAAUGAAAUGUAGAACUAGGAUUAACCAUUUAGUGGUUUAGGAUGAAAAAGGACUUGGGUUGACUUUGGUCAAACUUGACUAAAAAGUCAAUUGUUCACCAAAGUCAACAUUUGGUCAACAUGUAAUUUUUUGGAUUUUUUUGUAUGUAAUGAACAUUUAUGGAUGAUAAUGGAUACAAAUGACUAUUUGAAUAAAAAAUUAAUGGGUUUAGUA